rnacentral:rRNA from 1 species
UAAAUAGCCCGGCCCGCUUUGGCGGGUCGCUGGCUUCUUAGAGGGACAUUCGGCUCAAGCCGACGGAAGUCUGAGGCAAUAACAGGUCUGUAAUGCCCUUAGAUGUUCUGGGCCGCACGCGCGCUACACUGACAGAGCCAACGAGUUUCUUUCCUUGUCCGAAAGGACUG